GAAUCUGGGUCCUUGUCUUGCUGCAGCUAAAGCCUGAGGUUUGUAGGAUUGAGGAAGGAGUAGGAUUUGUUCCAUAUUCCUACUAACUGGAGUUGUAUCUUAAGACCAAGAAAUAUGGAGGUGGUUUUAUCUGACCUCUGAGUUUCGCUUUUAUCGCCCAGGCUGGAGUGCAAUGGUGCAAUCUCUGUUGAACCCAGGAGGCGGAGGUUGCGGUGAGCCGACAUCUUCAUCUUCAUCUUUCUUUGGCUGUUCCUGUAGUGGCAUCUCUUCCUGUGAUCAUCAAGGGACUGGAUCUCCUUUACCCCCAG
rnacentral:lncRNA from 1 species